rfam:Xenorhabdus cabanillasii JM26, WGS project CBXE01000000 data, contig: XENCA_2134_Contig_147
AAAGUCCCGUCGUAGAAGAUUAGCCAGAUCACUACGUAGCGAGUCUUGCAUCUCAGGCGGUAACAAAGGAGAUGAAGCGUAGACAGCGAAACAUUCGAGCCGAAACCAAUAGGUGAACGUGAUAACGCCGAAAUUCGCUGAUUGUGUUGUGCCGAUGGUAUCGUCGAACCAGCAGGCAAUAAUUUCUGAAUGGGCACACUGGUGAUUUUUUUCCAGUCAGAAGCACACACCGGAGUCUCAGGCGU